AUGGAUGAGCUGCUGGACAAAGAAUGCAAACAAAAAGUGGUCCAAAACCUCAAAUGCAGUUUUGUGCAAAACACUAAUUUUUGGG